rnacentral:rRNA from 1 species
UACAGAGGGGGCAAGCGUUGUUCGGAAUUACUGGGCGUAAAGCGCGCGUAGGCGGCUUUGUAAGUUAGAGGUGAAAGCCCGGGGCUCAACUCCGGAACUGCCUUUAAGACUGCAUCGCUUGAAUCCGGGAGAGGUGAGUGGAAUUCCGAGUGUAGAGGUGAAAUUCGUAGAUAUUCGGAAGAACACCAGUGGCGAAGGCGGCUCACUGGACCGGUAUUGACGCUGAGGUGCGAAAGCGUGGGGAGCAAACAGG